UCCUUGUUAAACAAUACAUAUUCGAACCUUGAAAUUUUUGACAUCAAGUUUUCUUUAUUAAAACAUCAAAAUCCUUUCGAGAUGUCCAUACUUUAUCAAAUUUAAAAGGGGGAGCUUUUAGAUUACUAUGGAUUUUGAUGGCCAAUGAUAUAGGACAGUGAUCAGAAGAAGUGAAAAGAUGAUGAAUAAUUUUUGCAUUUGGGAAGGCAUUUAGCCAACUUAUACUCGCAAGUCGCAACCCCCUUGUCUAGUCUUUUCAAAAUAUUAUUUGGACCACUUCUUGAAAAAAAAAAAAAUAGAGUAUUAUUAUCAUUUUAAAACUGAAAAAUAAAGAAUAUAAUUCAGACAAAACGAAUGAUAAAUAAUAUUGAAACAAAUGAAAUCUGCAGUAUAUUACAUUCCCUCCGCUUCCGUAUGUUCUUCCAGUGUUUUUAGAUUCGUUUUCAUUUUCACAAUCUCUCAAACUCUCUUUCUCUCACAUCUCACUUAAUCUCAGACCUGAGUUCUCCCUUUCUCUCUCAUACAACCUCAGAUCCAGUCAACUUCACUCCUCCCUCAUACGCCCUCACCGGCGGCGGUGCGUGCAUCUAAAGACGGUCGUGAAAUCGUGACUCGGAGUCUCGGACCUCCUGAUGGCUGAUGUUGCCUAGUUGCUCCGUAAUCGCCAACCUACUGCCGCAACAUUUUGGCUUGAAACUCGGUGGAUGAUGGUGGACGGACAACUUCGAAGAGUCGUGACUCGUGACUAGCAGACUAGGUGUUGAUUGUAUGUGGUGGAUCCUAUAGACGUGGAAAAUCAUCUUGCGGAGAUAUGGACAUAGUAAUUACACAUCCUGAUGGGCUCAGUAGCUAAUGUUGAAGCCAAAAGAAAGAAAUCCAAGAGACCUAUAAGGGCCUGUUUUCCCCAGCUUAUUUUCAGUUCAGCUCAGCUCCCAUCAGUUCAGCUCAGCUCCCAUCAGUUCAGUUCAACUCCAAUCAGUUCAGUUCAGCUCCAUUCUUUUAUAACCAUUUUGUUAAAUAUUAUUAUUAUGUUGGUAUAAUUUAUUUUACUAAUUACUCUUAUUAUUAUUAUUAUUUAAAUAUAUAUCAUUACUAUUAAGUAUUAUUAUUAUUGUUGUUUUUAUAUAUUAUUUUGUUUAUUAUAGCUUUACUCAUUGUUAUUACUAUUAUUAUUAGGAGGAACAUGGUUUAGGUCAAAGCACAAAUAAACCCACUUUUUUUAGCCCAUAAACCAAUCAAAUCGCGUCAAGACGGUUUAUGAUGUAAUUUUCGCGGUCCAACCCAAUCAUUAUUUUUAUUACUAAAUGUUUUUAUAUUAUUAAAUCUAAUUAUUAAAAUAGUAAUAUUAAUUUACUUCUUAGAUAUUAAAUAUUUUUAUUGUUGUUAAUAUAUUAAUACAAAUAAUAUAAAAUAAUUAUUAUUAAUUAUCAUUAUUAUUGUUAAUUUAUGAUUAUUAAUAUUAUUUAUUUAUAACUAUCAUUUAAAAAAAUCCAAAAUACUAUUAUUAUUAUUCAUUAUUACUUAUCAUUAUAAUUAUUAUUUAAUAUUCAUAUUAUUAUUGUUUAAAAUAUUAUUUAUAUAUUUAUUACAUUCAAUUUAAUUCAAUUUAAUUUAAUUCAAUUCAAUUCAAUUCAAUUCAAUUCAAUUCAAUUCAAUUCAGUUCAGCUCAGCUCAGCUCCAAUAAGUUCAGUUUAGUUCAGUUUAGCUCCAAUAAGUUUAGUUUAGUUCAGUUCCGUUCAACUGUUUUAUGCCGAAGAGAAGAGGCCCUAAAAGAGAAUAUGUCAUGAAUAGUCUCUUGGUAGUACAGUCAUAAGAGUGUUAAAAUUCUAAAUAUGUGUUUAGGUCUUUUUGGUUAAACAUAUAUAAUUAUUAUAAGACUUUAUUCUAUUUUAUUUGAAACAUUAAACUAUAAAGUUAUAUUUUAUUGAUGGCUAAACUCUCACUUUUCAUUUCAAAUGUCACGUGUCCAAUACGUUGCAGAUACACCAUAUUAGAGGUGAUCAUGGGUUGGUCCGGGCUUUGGCCUAAAAAGUGGCCCAUUUCGAGCCAAUGCCUCUAGCCCAAAUUCCCGCGCCAAAACCCGCUAUUUCGGGCCGUGUCAUGCAGGCUUUUUGGGCAAUUUUCGGACCGGGCCAAAAAUUAGCCUAAUUUUUCAUAUUUAAGUCUCCCGUGACCCCAUUUUUUCCCAAAAAUCAGGCCAGAACCGAUGGAGCGGCCGAAAAACCGCGCCCGAAAAUUGCCGAUUUUCGAGUCGGGCUCAUGUUGAUCACCUCUACGCCAUAUUUAUAUUUUUAAAUUGAGGAGUUCACAUGGACAUAAAGUUGCAUUACAAAUUUGAGGAAAGUACAACGUGGAAUUUAGGCUUCCUUCGCCUUCUAAUAUAUUGGUAUAUAUAUAGAUUAGUAAUUGGUAAGAGUUUGUAAUUUCCCAAUGCAUAAACUCUUUUAUUAUUAAUUGGACUAAAUAAAAAGAUUAAAGCCUAACCUUGCUCAAAUAAAUUGAUAUUUAUGUUCUUGUCCAACGAUGACUAAAACAUUAGAAAAACUCACCUUUUUCCUUGAAAUUAGUAUUUUAGCCCGGGCAAUGACCCGGGUUAGUUACAAUUAUCAAUUAUAUUAUUGUUCAUAAAUUUCAUAAUUAAUUUUAUUAGCUUUUGUAAUUUUUCGUCAAAUGCCGAAUUAAAAACUAUACAUUAUAGCAUGAUAAGUUGUUUUUUUAAAAAACUUCUAAGAAAUUGGGAAUAAAGAUAACAAUUUCAACGAAAUUGGGUUAAGAGAAUGUUAUUACCUUAAUAACAGUAUUAGAAAUCAAAAAAAUUAUCUACGUCUUUAUAGUUACGUAUAACUAUAAGACUUCAUUAUGUUUUACUUUGAAACAUUAAACAUUGAAAUUGUAGUAGAUUGGUGGUUAAACUAUCACAUUUAUACAUAUAUCUAAAAUCGAAGGCAAAAAUAUGUCAUGCUGCCACAUGUAUUCCCCCCUCCCUCACACAAUUAAAUGAGAAAUAUUAAACAAUAAUAACGUGUGUUAUAAGACUCAAACCCAUGACCUUUCAUUUGAGAUACAAAUGCACUAACCAACUACUCUAUUAUCUCAUAUUGGUCUUUAUGGAAAAAAGAAUAUAUUUAAAGACAAGAUAAUAUUCUAUUUUAAAGACAAUUAAAUACAAAUGUAUAUAUUAAUACUCAUUAAUCUAUUGUUAAUAAUAACGUAUCCUACCUUUCAGCAAUCUUAUAUUAAAAAAAAACUCUUCAAUUUUUUAUAACCACCGUAAUUAACACUACUACAACAUUUCAUUGGUUGUAUUCUUACACAUUAACCUACAUCUAAAAAAAAAGAUUGUGUUAUAUUUUUUAUAAGUAAUUAAAUAUUUAUAUAUAUGUACUCUCUUGAAACCGAGGUUCAAUCAAAUCCUCUUUUUUAACGAUUGAAUGCAUCUCUGUAGUACCAUAGUUAGUAAUACCCGUACUCUUUCUUCAGUAUCGAGGAUCGUCGUACUAAGAAAAAAAAACUAUUUCUAAGUAAAACACCAUUUAUGGGUAUUUCAAUCAAGAUACCGGAAGGGGACAUUAAUUCUUUUUCCCGUUCUUGACUCGACUGAAAUGGAAUAAUGAAUCUAUUGCUUCUUUCCUUUGCCAAUAAAUCAUAAUUUUUUUGCAUAAUAUAUGGGAGUAUAACACAAGUGGAAAAAACUUUAUAUGUCACUUUGUAUCAGAUGCGGUUUUUGUAAAACCGCAUCCGAAAAUGAACCAUAAAAUUGGUGGGAAAUUUGGCAAAAAUAAUCGGAUGCGGUCCAAAAAAAAGGCAUCAGAUUUAAUGUCAGAUGUGGUUUUUUUUGAACUUGAUGCGGUUCAGGGGAUCGCAUCCGAAAAUAAGUUUAAUGACAUGCCUUUCCUCCCAACUCGUGGCCCAAGACGCUCAUGGUCCAUUUCUUUUCCUUAUAACCAGCCCAUUUCCCUUAUGCACGCUCUCUCUCCUCACUCUAACCCUAAUCUCUCAUCCCUUAUGCGCGCUCUCUCUCCUCACUCUAACCCUAAUCUUUCCUCCCUUAUGCGCGCUCUCUCUACUCACUCCAACCCCCCCAAAACCUUCACCCUCCCAUCUCAGAUUCUCCUCUUCUCGUCCUCGUCUCUCUAAAACCCUAACCCCCGUCCUCUCUCAUCCGCCAUCCUCUCUCAUCAUCUGCCGUCGUUCUUCAUCCUUAAAUAAACCAAGGAUCUUCAGCACCAUCAUCUUCGACAACCAAUUCGUCGUCGCACGCAUCUCGCAAACGCCACAACAAACGCUACCAGAAAGAAGUGAAUAACGAAAACGAAGAACGAGAUUUCGUCUCCUCUAUCAAUAUUCGUCGCUCGUGUCAAGAUAUGAGUAUUUUCGUUUUUUCAUUUAGUUGUAAUUUUAAAUCUCAUUGUAAUUUUUUCGAUUUUUUCAAUUUUUUUAGAUCUGAAUUCUCUUUUAAUUUUCGUUUUUUUAAUUUCUUCGUUUUAUUAAUUUUCUGUAUUUUAUUUU